rnacentral:rRNA from 1 species
GCAACCUGCCCCAUACAGAGGGAUAGCCUCGAGAAAUCGGGAUUAAAACCUCAUAAUGCCAUCGAGUCACAUGGCUCUUUGGCCAAAGAUUUAUCGGUAUGGGAUGGGCCUGCGUCUGAUUAGCUAGUUGGUGAGGUAACGGCUCACCAAGGCUGCGAUCAGUAGCAGAACUGAGAGGUUCAUCUGCCACAUUGGAACUGAGACACGGUCCAAACUCCUACGGGAGGCAGCAGUGAGGAAUAUUGCACAAUGGGCGAAAGCCUGAUGCAGCAACGCCGCGUGAGCGAUGAAGGCCUUUGGGUCGUAAAGCUCUGUCCUUGGGGAAGAAACAAAUGACGGUACCCUUGGAGGAAGCCCCGGCUAACUACGUGCCAGCAGCCGCGGUAAUACGUAGGGGGCGAG